CCGAUCAGCAAAGUUAAGCAAUGUUGAGCCUGAUCAGUACCUUGAUGGGUGACCCCUUGGGAAUACCAGGUGCUGUAA